CGGCGUGCCGCCCGCCGGAAGGGGCGGCGGCGGGGCUGCGCCCCGUUCGGAAAGG
ncrna:unclassified sequences M23 RNA